GUGAUGGCUAAGCCCCUCCCUGGUCAGGGUCAGAUGACCUGGAGGUUGGCGCGCUGACCGAACAAUGCCUAAGUUUGUGACGCAACCCCACCCAGAAGACUAUAAAUAGGGCGGCGCAGUGGGCCAGGGCCAGACCGCUGGACAGAGCCACGAUGGAAGAGGCAAGCUCCCAACAACAAGCUGCAAGCACCAACGAGGACAGGGAGAGGGAGGCCCCCUCAGCCCACGUCCAGGUGCCUCGACAAGGUGAGUGGACCCCCCCCAAGCUCCUCCUCCUCUUCCCCCGGCCCCUGGCUCCCAAGACUCCUACCUUGUCCUCGCCGGACACAAACCUCCACUCAGCCCACACCCUUUCCAUGAAGCCCCUACUCCCACGCCGCCUCCACCCUAUUUCCCACCCCAAAGCCCCUCUCUGAUCUCCCUGCUGUCUUUCCAGGGCCCAAAGGCAGGCAGCAGCGUAAAGGACCUGUGCGAGGGCGAAAAAUAGUCCGUCCCAAACUGCGCCGUCCUACCGUGAAACCGAAGAAAGGGAGGGGGUCAAAGCCCGUCCAAAUUUAUUACUAUCUGAACACGAAAAUCAGUCCAAAUGUGCCAGCCAAGGGCAAGAAGGACCGGGAGGCCCCCAGCACCUCGUGCGGGACCCCGGCUGCCUUGAACUCGGCCGUGGAGCCCGAGACUUCUGAAUCACCUAAGAACUCACCCGAGGCUCAGCCGCUGAGCAAUGCUCAGUAAGCAGAUGUUGGGUUAACCCUAACAUCCUGCAUGGGGAUGAUUGAAAUAAAUCAGUCUCGUCUGAGAUGUGCGUGUGCGUGUGUUUGUGCGCGCAUUGGGACUGGCAGAGGGAGGGAGGACGGGACAGGGGCGUGUUCGGAGGGAGGCAUUGGGACUGGCGGAGGGAAGGAGGACGGGACAGGGAUGUGUUUCAGGCAUUGGGACUGGCAGAGGGAGGGAGGACGGGACAGGGGCGUGUUCGAGUCAUUGGGACUGGCAGAGGGAGGGAGGACGGGACAGGGGCGUGUUCAGAGGGAGGCAUUGGGACUGGCAGAGGGAAGGAGGACGACCCCAAGGGUGUGUUCGGAGGGAGCACUGGGACU
rnacentral:lncRNA from 1 species